CGGAGAUGUGUAUAAGAGACAGNAGCUAUGUGUGGACGGGAUAAGUGCUGAAAGCAUCUAAGCAUGAAGCCCCCCUCAAGAUGAGAUUUCCCAACUUCGGUUAUAAGAUCCCUCAAAGAUGAUGAGGUUAAUAGGUUCGAGGUGGAAGCAUGGUGACAUGUGGAGCUGACGAAUACUAAUCGAUCGAAGACUUAAUCAA
rnacentral:rRNA from 1 species